CAUUGAUGAAGAACGCAGCGAAAUGCGAUAAGUAAUGUGAAUUGCAGAAUUCAGUGAAUCAUCGAAUCUUUGAACGCACAUUGCGCCCCUUGGCAUUCCUUGGGGCAUGCCUGUUCGAGCGUC
rnacentral:rRNA from 1 species